rnacentral:miRNA from 1 species
AGAACACCCAGUUAAAUUUGAAUUUCAAGUAAGCAAUGAACCUGUUGUUAGUAUGUCCCAAAUAUUGCAUGGGACAUACUUAUACUAAAAACAUUUGUUGUUUAUCUGAAAUUCAAAUUUAACUGAAUAGCU